rnacentral:rRNA from 1 species
CCUACGGGUGGCAGCAGUGAGGAAUAUUGGUCAAUGGCCGAGAGGCUGAACCAGCCAAGUCGCGUGAGGGAAGACGGCCCUACGGGUUGUAAACCUCUUUUGUCGGGGAGCAAAGCGAACCACGUGUGGUUCAUUGAGAGUAACCGAAACAAAAGCAUCGGCUAACUCCGUGCCAGCAGCCGCGGUAAUAAGGAGGAUACGAGCGUUAACCGGAUUUAUUGGGUUUCAAGGGUGCGCAGGCGGAAGAGCACGCCAGCGGUAAUAUUGAGAGGCUCAACCUCUUCGAGCCGUUGAAACUGGUUUUCUUGAGUGAGCUAGAAGUAUGCGGAAUGCGUGGUGUAGCGGUGAAAUGCAUAGAUAUCACGCAGAACUCCGAUUGCGAAGGCAGCAUACCGGCGCUCAACUGACGCUCAUGCACGAAAGUGUGGGUAUCGAACAGGAUUAGAUACCCCUGUAGUC